GCUCGUAGUCGGAUGUCGGGCUCGGGCAGGCUGUCGGCUUCGGUCGGACGGCAGGCUCGGGUCUUACUGCAUGAGGAUCCCGUUGCACUUAAUUGUGGGGCGUGGGGACACACGCCGUUUACUUUGAAAAAAUUAGAGUGUUCAAAGCAGGCCUACACUUGAAUACAUUAGCAUGGAAUAAUGGAAUAGGACUUUGGUCUUAUUUGUUGGUUAUGGGACCGAAGUAAUGAUUAACAGGGACAGUUGGGGCCGUUUAUAUUUCGUUGUCAGAGGUGAAAUUCUUGGAUUUACGAAAGAUAAACUUGUGCGAAAGCAUUCGGCAAGGAUGUUUUCAUUGAUCAAGAACGAAAGUUAGGGGAUCGAAGACGAUCAGAUACCGUCGUAGUCUUAACCAUAAACUAUGCCGACUAGGGAUCAGUGGAUGUCAAUUUGCGACUCCAUUGGCACCUUGUGAGAAAUCAAAGUUUUUGGGUUCCGGGGGGAGUAUGGUCGCAAGGCUGAAACUUAAAGGAAUUGACGGAAGGGCACCACCAGGAGUGGAGCCUGCGGCUUAAUUUGACUCAACACGGGGAAACUUACCAGGUCCAGACAUAGUAAGGAUUGACAGAUUGAAAGCUCUUUCUUGAUUCUAUGGGUG
rnacentral:rRNA from 1 species